UGCCAGGAGAGGUGACUAGCACAGAACCACAAGUGGGGAGGAAGCUGUGCUAAUUAACUGGCUAUGACUCGAUAGCUUCAUUGGUCUCUGAAGCCCAGGAUGACACCUGUGUCCCUCAGUGUGCUCUGGCUAAGCUUAGAAACACUUCCUAAAGAAGAGAAUGAAUCAGUUUGAACUUUGAAGUCUGACCACCUAGAUUUGAACACCAUCUCUGCCACUUCCUGGCUGUGUGACUUUAACAAGUCACUUAGCCUCUAAGAAUUCUAUACCAUUAGCAAUUUCAUAAUACUGGAGGAAAACAGAGCAACUUCACAAUAUAAGAGAAAACAUUGUCUGGAAUAGUGCCCACACAUAGGAUGUGCAUCACAGAUAUUUGAUGAAGAAUGAAAGAAGGCAAGAAGGAAGGACGGGCUGAGCUAGCUAAUGUGGAUUCUGUUCUCUGCAACUGAGAGCCCCAGUGAUAUAAUAACUCCAGAGAAAAGAGAGAAAAAGUGGAUGAUGUCUGCUGUCACCCAUUCUUGCCCUUGAAGGGGAGGGGAUGUCUUCGACAACAUGGAGACACUGAAGUUAUGCUUUGGGAAGUGACCAAUAUAAGCAAAGGAGUUUUGUUUGCCUUCUCUAGGUGCUGUACACUGAAGAAUUUAAGCCUCUGGCUUUGUUUUCUUGGGCUAGAAACAGGGGCAGAUCUUGCUGCCUUGAUCACUGGGGCAGCAAAGAUAUUCUGAGGAUAGGACAGAGAGCACAAAAGGAAAAAGAACUUUCCACUGUAAAUUCCUGGUCAAUUCUGUACAGUCUGAGGGGCAACCUCCAUAGCAACAAUAAAUGAAUGU